rnacentral:rRNA from 1 species
CGGCGAACGGGUGAGUAACACGUGAGCAACCUGCCCCGAAGACUGGGAUAACACCGGGAAACCGGUGCUAAUACCGGAUGUCCUUCUCUGGUCGCAUGGCCUAGGAAGGAAAGGAAUUUUGCUUCGGGAGGGGCUCGCGGGCUAUCAGCUUGUUGGUGAGGUAACGGCUCACCAAGGCGACGACGGCUAGCUGGUCUGAGAGGACGACCAGCCACACUGGGACUGAGACACGGCCCAG